UCAGAGCUUUUUGGCUAGAAUCGUCAGUUCAAGGUUUGGCCUCAGAGUCUUUAAGUUGUGAGAGGACAGACAUGGUAAGGAUAUACUGUGCCCAGGUCUGGAGGGUGUGCUACUGAGAAUCAGGGAAGGGAAGAGGCUCAGUAGUUGCUGGGGCUGAGGCAGUGCCUGGAAAGCAGAGCCACGUGAAAGGGCAAAUGCCAGCUGAGCAUGGCCUUGGGUCACUGGCUGCCUUGCAAACAGGAGCUCUGCAGGCAAGGUGGACUUGCACAACAGCAGCCUGUCAGGUCCAGGGUCUUUCACUUGCUUCUUUGGGAUCCUCACCAAGCAUGUCAUUCAACUGUUUAUUGUGCAUGGACCUUGGUAGGGAAUAGGCAUUGUUUUGUUUUCUGAUCUAUUUCUCCUUGAAUGCCCAUCCUCAACGGCAGGGAACAUGUCUUAUUCUUCCCAGAACCUUAGGAUACAUGAAGGGGGAAAAUGAGUGAAAAUGGAAACUUUGGUGGAGAUAAUGAGGCUUUUCUUUAUUGCUAUUAUCUUUAGAAGCUGGGUCACAGACAUCUUGAUAUGCACUUAAAUAUAUUUAUUUAACAAACAUGUACAUAGCACUUACUUUGUGCCAGGCAUUGUUCUUACACUGUUCACAUUUAAUUAUGCCAACAGCCCUCACAUAAACACUAUUUUUAUCCCCACUUUGCCCGGAAAACUGAUGUACAGAGCUUUUAAGUAACUUGACCAAAUCCACACACUAAUAAGGACUUAAACCUGGGCAAUCUGGGCCCAGAGCCACCCUGGCUCUCCUUUUCCUUCUCACACGUCUUGAUAUGGUUGGGUCUUGGUUAUUUUUCCCUUUCGGAGCUCUCGUCUUUUCUUCCUCCUUCUCCAUUCCUGUUGCCUCCACCCUAGUGUGUGUUGCGAUCAUUUAUUUGUAGACUGCAGCGCACUAGCCUCUGACUUCAGUCCCUUGCACACCACAGCAAGGCUAACCUUCCUUCAUGAUGGCUCUCAUCGCCCUUUUCCUGCUACAGAACUCUCCUUGGUGUCCUAUCCUGUCAGGGCUGAUCUCCUGUCUGGUUUCCAAACCUCUGGAAUCUGACAGUGCUGCCCUGCUCAUCCAUCCUCACUUCCCUUGCCAACCCAUGUGCUGACACGGCUCCUGGCAGUUCUCGUACCCCUUUCCUGGAGUGCUCUCACCUCUUCCCUGGCCCUCCAUCAGUUCAUUCUGCCUUGGAUGUCCUUCUAGGCCUCACCUCCUGCCCGACUACACAGCUCUUAGUGUCUGCUCUGCCCCUGAAUCCAGUCUACAGGCUGUUGGAUUUCAUUGCUCCUGGCUUUAAAAAGCCCAAUUAGGUUUAAACUCUUUGGGGGUCUGUCAUUAUACCUAGCACUGAGCUGGGUCCCAAAGGACAGUGUUGAGUACUAGGAUUAGUAGGCAGAACACAUUAGGACAUUGGCCCAAUAUUGGGCUUGUUACUUGGUUUCCUCACCAUUAAAUGAAGAACUUAAAAGAGAUAAUGGCCAAGUUUCCUUUUAAUUUGCUUAAAUAAUUUACUUAUGUUUGUGUGGGUGUGUGUGUGUGUGUGUGUGUGUGUGUGUGUGUGUGUGUGUGUGUGUGUGGUGGAGGAAGGGUGCAGAAGAACAGGUAGGUUUACAUGAGAUACAGCCCCCCGGAGGAUCUUCCUUAAGGCACUUGGAACUAAGUUUGAAGGCAGUGACCACAAAUUCUUUCAUCAAGACUUGUCAAUCCAGCUGGGCUCUGCGGUCACACCUACUCUUAUCUCAGAAGGUGAAUUCUGUGAUUGCCUGCAUUUAAUGGCUGACCAAACAGGUUCCAAAAGAUCUUGUUACAUCUUUAGGUCUCAUAUCACUAAGGUUGGGGUGUCCAUUCAUGACCUCUGUUCAUGCUCUAUAUGCCAUGAUUCCCUUUGUGGGGUCUUUAUCUAAAAAAUAAACUGAGUUGUCUGAAACCUUCUUUGGAGGAGAUAGUCUGGUAUAGUAGUUAAGAAUACAGAUUCUGGGCUGGGCAUGGUGGCUCACGCCUGCAAUCCAAGCACUUUGGAGGCCAAGGCAGGCGGAUCACCUGAGGCUGGGAGUUCAAGACCAGCCUGACCAACAUGGUGAAACCCCAUCUAAAAAAAAAAAAAAAAAAAAAAAAAAGAAUACGGAUUCUGAAGUCAGAAUGUUUGGGUUUUGCAUCAUCUGUAAACUAAGAUGACACAAAAAUAUCUACCCAACAAAGCUGUUUCCAGAAUUUAAGAAAGUAUCUUUAUAAGAGUGCUGUAUGAUAGAGUCCAGGACCAAAAUAUAUCAAAGCAUGUACAUGUUAAAUGGAGCUAAGUCCCAAAUUGGUUGACUAAAGGAAGGUGUAAUGAUGGAAUCCUGUGCGCUUCCAACAGACCACCGAUUU